rnacentral:sRNA from 1 species
AGCAGCCGCGGUAAUUCCAGCUCCAAUAGCGUAUAUUAAAGUUGUUGUGGUUAAAAAGCUCGUAGUUGAACCUUGGGCCUGGCUGGCCGGUCCGCCUCACCGCGUGUACUGGUCCGGCCGGGCCUUUCCCUCUGUGGAACCCCAUGCCCUUCACUGGGUGUGGCGGGGAAACAGGACUUUUACUUUGAAAAAAUUAGAGUGCUCCAGGCAGGCCUAUGCUCGAAUACAUUAGCAUGGAGUAAUAGAAUAGGACGUGUGGUUCUAUUUUGUUGGUUUCUAGGACCGCCGUAAUGAUUAAUAGGGACGGUCGGGGGCAUCAGUAUUCAAUUGUCAGAGGUGAAAUUCUUGGAUUUAUUGAAGACUAACUACUGCGAAAGCAUUUGCCAAGGAUGUUUUCAUUAAUCAGGAACGAAAGUUAGGGGAUCGAAGACGAUCAGAUACCGUCGUAGUCUUAACCAUAAACUAUGCCGACUAGGGAUCGGACGAUGUUAUUUUUGACUCGUUCGGCACCUUACG